AUGGCAUGUUGAGGGCAAUCGUCACAAAGUUUCUUGAAUCUUUCCCAAGCUUGGAAAAAAUUCUCAUCUUUGCGUUGUCGAAAGUUUGCAAUCCUUUGUCUCCCUUU
rnacentral:snoRNA from 1 species